UGAGGCUGUACGUGAGCUAUUAGCAGCCAACACACGUAGCAGCGGGCCUGCUGAAAGGGAGGUGGGCCAGGCACCAACAGCUCUACUUUGGGAGGAAUGAGAAACUCUUUGCUGAGGAAUUCGAAAAGAUUUUAUCAUGAAGAUGACAGUUGGCUUGUAAGGAAGAGAAAAGAGGUCAUUAGACUGAGAAUGGGGUAGCCAUGGUAGGGAGCAAAGAGUAAUUCAGGUAACAAGUUCACUGAGUUCAACUUUGGAGGAGAUUUGUGGUCAGAAUCAAACAUACCUGAUUUCAGCAUUCUUCUGAACCCAGUGGAAGCUCAUCUACCAGACGGAGCUGGAGGUGACCAGGAAGAUGGGAGGCUGGAAGAAACAGUCACAGCAAGGGCUGGGCCUCUCCAGAGCGCCCACAUACUCACAAAAUGCUGUUCCAUGAAGAGGUCAAGAAAAGAGGCUUGCCAAGAACACUUUCUUUUGGAAAGCCUCUCAGGAAAAGCAGCUGCUUCAGGAUGAAGAUGAAGAUCUUCCCAGUCACUAACUGCCAGAGACUCACUGAAAUGGGUGAUGAACAAAAACUUCCCACCUUUGUCAGGAAGCUCAUGGCCAGAGAAGUUGCUGCUGAUGCUCUGAGCGAAGGAUGGAAGGGUUAUGUGGUGAGAAUGACAAACAAGGUUUCCCUAUGACCCAGUGUGUCUGGACCCUUGGCCAUGUUCAUCUGCUACUGAGCAGGGGGCUUUCCUGUGAUAGACCGAGGAGAAUUGGAGGAGAAAGGUGCAAGUCUGUUCUAUCCAGCGUUACAUUGUGGGUGUGAAUUUGAGUGUUCUUCACUUGGUUAUUGUAAAACCAGAGAGAGGGAUAUUCCUGGAAUGACUGAUGCUGUUAUGCCCCAUCGCCUAGGCCUGAAAGAGCUCUCAGAAUCUGCACAGUUUUCAAUCUCUCUAGAGAGACGAUGUCCACCGAUAUGCUGUGAGGCAGUCCCUGUUCAAAGAUGGUAAGAAACCCGGAAUCUGAGAGCUCAAGAUUCAGUGUCCUGUUAUUAACACUAGUACAUUGCUCUGAAGAAACAGCUUAGUAAGGAAAAUAAGGAAGAAGCUGCAGAAUAUGUUAAACUUUUGGCCAAGAGAAUGGGAGACCAAAGAGAAAUGCCAGGAGCAUUUCCAAGAGACAGACACUGUCCUCUCUGAGAGCUGCUUUCUUUGGUCUGAGCCCAGUCGAAAAUAAGAUUUUCAAAUGUUCAACUUCACUAAUUGUUAGGGAAAUGCAAAUCAAAACUACAAUGAGGGGCUGGCCCCGUGUCCAAGUGGUUGGGUUUGCGUGCUCUGCUGCAGGCGGCCCAGUGUUUCGUUGGUUCGAGUCCUGGGCACGGAUGUGGCACUGCUCAUCAGGCCAUGCUGGGGCGGCGUCCCAAGUGCCACAGCUAGAAGGAUCCACAAUGAAGAAUAUACAACCAUGUACCGGGGGGCUUUGGAGAGAAAAAGGAAAAAAAUAAAAAUCUAAAAAAAACCCA
rnacentral:lncRNA from 1 species